rnacentral:rRNA from 1 species
UACGAAGGGGGCUAGCGUUGCUCGGAAUCAUUGGGCGUAAAGGGUGCGUAGGCGGCGCGGUAAGGUCGGGUGUGAAAUCUCGGAGCUUAACUCCGAAACUGCAUUCGAUACUGCCGUGCUUGAGGACUGGAGAGGAGACUGGAAUUUACGGUGUAGCUGGUGAAAUGCGUAGAUAUCGUAAGGAAGACCAGUGGCGAAGGCGGGUCUCUGGACAGUUCCUGACGCUGAGGAGCGAAAGCGUGGGGAGCAAACAGG